AACGGCACCUUCGGGUGUAGUGGCGGACGGGUUAGUAACGCGUGGGAACGUGCCCUUCUCUACGGAAUAGCCUCGGGAAACUGAGCGUAAUACCGUAUACGCCCUUUGGGGGAAAGAUUUAUCGGAGAAGGAUCGGCCCGCGUUGGAUUAGGUAGUUGGUGGGGUAAUGGCCUACCAAGCCUACGAUCCAUAGCUGGUUUGAGAGGAUGAUCAGCAACACUGGGACUGAGACACGGCCCAGACUCCUACGGGAGGCAGCAGUGGGGAAUCUUAGACAAUGGGGGCAACCCUGAUCUAGCCAUGCCGCGUGAGUGACGAAGGCCUUAGGGUCGUAAAGCUCUUUCGCUGGAGAAGAUAAUGACGGUAUCCAGUAAAGAAACCCCGGCUAACUCCGUGCCAGCAGCCGCGGUAAUACGGAGGGGGUUAGCGUUGUUCGGAAUUACUGGGCGUAAAGCGCGCGUAGGCGGAUUGGAAAGUUGGGGGUGAAAUCCCGGGGCUCAACCCCGGAACGGCCUCCAAAACUCCCAGUCUUGAGUUCGAGAGAGGUGAGUGGAAUUCCGAGUGUAGAGGUGAAAUUCGUAGAUAUUCGGAGGAACACCAGUGGCGAAGG
rnacentral:rRNA from 1 species